AGCUUUGCUAAAUUCCAAUUUGUGCAUAUUUUUGUCGUUUAGCACAUAACAAAUUCUAACUGUGAACCAACAUUGGGAAUUGUAUACAAUGCUUGCCAGUUAAAAGAGUUACAUUAGUUUGAGUAUGGUGGUACAGAUACCUGGUCAUAUGAAACGAUUUUACUUGCGCCAUCCACGAAAAAUGCGUGAAGUUAGGUUUGUGAGGAUUUUGAAAAAUGGGUAGGAAAUGUGACAUUUGUUCGCCGAAGUCCGAGGGAUCAUAGUUCUGCGCAGAGACUCAGUGAAAAUAUUACUGUUGAAAUCACCGGUUAAAGCAACAUUUUUAUAUACAGCUAUAGGGACGGCUCACAUACAUAUUUGCAUAUCGUCAGCAUACAUCUGCACUUCACAAUUAGACCAGACAUUUGGAAGAUCAUUCACAUAUAUCGAAAACAGUAAUGUUCCAAGGAACGACCCUUGGGGGACACCGCGCUUAGUGAAUAGAAAGCCGGAGGUCUCAGACUCCUUUACAAAACAUUGAGAUCGGCCCAUUAGAUAUACAGCUAUAGGGACGGCUCACAUACAUAUUUGCAUAUCGUCAGCAUACAUCUGCACUUCACAAUUAGACCAGACAUUUGGAAGAUCAUUCACAUAUAUCGAAAACAGUAAUGUUCCAAGGAACGACCCUUGGGGGACACCGCGCUUAGUGAAUAGAAAGCCGGAGGUCUCAGACUCCUUUACAAAACAUUGAGAUCGGCCCAUUAGAUAUACAGCUAUAGGGACGGCUCACAUACAUAUUUGCAUAUCGUCAGCAUACAUCUGCACUUCACAAUUAGACCAGACAUUUGGAAGAUCAUUCACAUAUAUCGAAAACAGUAAUGUUCCAAGGAACGACCCUUGGGGGACACCGCGCUUAGUGAAUAGAAAGCCGGAGGUCUCAGACUCCUUUACAAAACAUUGAGAUCGGCCCAUUAGAUAUACAGCUAUAGGGACGGCUCACAUACAUAUUUGCAUAUCGUCAGCAUACAUCUGCACUUCACAAUUAGACCAGACAUUUGGAAGAUCAUUCACAUAUAUCGAAAACAGUAAUGUUCCAAGGAACGACCCUUGGGGGACACCGCGCUUAGUGAAUAGAACGCCGGAGGUCUCAGACUCCUUUACAAAACAUUGAGAUCGGCCCAUUAGGUAUGUUCUUAUCAAGCUUAUAGCUUGAAAAAUUGUAUAGUUUUUCUAUUCUAUUGCAAAAUGUCGAAAGCCUUACUAUAGUCUAGCAGUGUAUGAAAUGUAACUUGCCUAUUAUCAGAUUUCAUGCGAAUAUCCUAUGAGAUUUUUAAGAUUGCUGUUUUACAACUACGGUUUUUCCGAAAGCGAUGUUGUCUUGUAUUCAACAGUGAAUUAUCGUGAAGAUACAUAUUAAUUUGUGUGGAGACUAGUAGCUUAAGUGCUUUAGAUAAAAAUAAAAGUAUAGAUAUCGGUCUAUAUUCACCCUUUGUUUUUGGUAUGGGAAGUAGUUUGGCUGUCUUCCAACAUUUUAGAAAUGUAGAAGAUGUUAUUGCGGUAUUUAAAAUGUGUAUUAUGUUAAGAGUAGCCUGGAGACAAGGACUAGUAAAAAUUUUGGAUUUUAUUCUUAACAUGGACUGUAGGACAUCACACUUGUUGUAUGGCAAUGUGCUCAAGUACGGAUUGUAAGUUUAAUCAGGUACUUAAGGUUGUGAUUUUACAAGUGUGUUAUUUAAUUCAUCAGCAUUAAUGUGGCAAGCUGUCCCUUCUCGUUGUUUUUCUACUCCAAUACUUGUAAUAUUCUUCCAGAAUUCUUUUCCAGAUGACUCAUUAUUGAAUUUCUGUUGAUAGAAUUUCCUUACAGCUAUCCAGCAUGACUUAUUUACUUCUAUUCUGAAGGAACUGUAUUGCUUGUCCAAGUAUUCUGUUUUGUAGCGUUUCCACUUUCUAUAGGCCCUAUCACACG